rnacentral:rRNA from 1 species
AGGAUUAGAUACCCUUUUAUUUUAUACAUUAUAAAUAAAUUACUAAAAUUAAAAAUAUAAAAUAAUUUAAGAUGGCGGCAUUUUUAAAAUAGAGGAACUUGUUGCUUAAUUCGAUAGACCCCGAUAAACCUUACUUUAUUUCAAGUUUAUAUACCGUUGUUUUAUUAAAUUUAAUAAAAAUUAUAAUAAAAUAUAUUAAAGAUAUAAAAUUUCAAAUCAAGGUGUAGCAAAUAAAUAAAGAACAAAUUAGUUACUAUCUUUUUAAGGGCUAAAAAUAAAAGUGAAAAUACUAUUUUAUAGAAGGAUUUAUUUGUAAAAAGAAAUUAAGAUGUUUUUUUGAUUCCAUUAAAUAAAUGUGUACAUACCGCCCGUCGCUCGCGGGA